rnacentral:rRNA from 1 species
AGAGUUUGAUCCUGGCUCAGAACGAACGCUGGCGGCGCGUCUUAAGCAUGCAAGUCGAACGGCAAGGCAGGUGCUUGCACCUGCCCUAGAGUGGCGGACUGGUGAGUAACACGUGGGUGACAUGCCUUUUAGUUGGGGAUAGCUACUAGAAAUAGUAGAUAAUACCGAAUGUGAUCAAUAUUUAUAGAUGAUGUUGAGGAAAGGAGCUAAGGCUUCGCUAAAAGAUUGGCCCGCGGCCCAUUAGCUAGUUGGUAGGGUAAAGGCUUACCCAAGGCGAUGAUGGGUAUCCGGCCUGAGAGGGUGAUCGGACACAUUGGGACUGAGAUACGGCCCAGACUCCUACGGGAGGCAGCAGCUAAGAAUAUUCCACAAUGGACGAAAGCCUGAUGGAGCGACGCCGCGUGGAUGAUGAAGGCCGAAAGGUUGUAAAAUCCUUUUACACUGGAGGAAUAAGCAGAGUAGGGAAUGACUCUGUGAUGACUGUACAGUUUGAAUAAGCAACGGCUAAUUACGUGCCAGCAGCCGCGGUAACACGUAAGUUGCGAGCGUUGUUCGGAAUUAUUGGGCGUAAAGGGCAUGUAGGCGGAUUUGCAAGCUUGAUGUGAAAUCCCGCAGCUUAACUGCGGAACUGCAUUGAGAACUGCAAGACUAGAGUUACUGAGGGGAAACUAGAAUUCCAAGUGUAGGGGUGAAAUCUGUAGAUAUUUGGAAGAAUACCAAUGGCGAAGGCAAGUUUCUGGCAGAUAACUGACGCUGAGGUGCGAAGGUGCGGGGAGCAAACAGGAUUAGAUACCCUGGUAGUCCGCACAGUAAACGAUGUACACUAGGUGUUUGACCAUGAGGUUGAGUGCCAUAGCUAACGCAAUAAGUGUACCGCCUGGGAAGUAUGCCCGCAAGGGUGAAACUCAAAGGAAUUGACGGGGGCCCGCACAAGCGGUGGAGCAUGUGGUUUAAUUCGAUGGUACGCGAGGAACCUUACCUGGGUUUGACAUAUACUGGAAUGUUAUAGAGAUAUAGCAGCGUAGCAAUACGCCGGUAUACAGGUGCUGCAUGGCUGUCGUCAGCUCGUGCCGUGAGGUGUUGGGUUAAGUCCCGCAACGAGCGCAACCCCUACUGUCAGUUGCUAACAGAUAAUGCUGAGGACUCUGGCGGAACUGCCGGUGACAAACCGGAGGAAGGUGGGGAGGACGUCAAGUCAUCAUGGCCCUUAUGUCCAGGGCUACACACGUGCUACAAUGGUAGAAACAACGCGAUGCUACACUGCAAAGUCACGCAAAACGCAAAAAAGCUAUCGUAGUUCGGAUUGGAGUGUGAAACUCGACUCCACGAAGUUGGAAUCGCUAGUAAUCGCGCAUCAGCACGGCGCGGUGAAUAAAAUCCCGGGCCUUGUACACACCGCCCGUCA